AUUCAUAAAUGACAUUGAAAUAAAAUCCAGUCCAACAUCUGGUUUGAGGUGAUUCUCUGGCUCAGCCAUUGCACUUCGGCUGUGCUGACCCCUGCGAAUUCCCCAAAUGUGGGAAUCUCGACUGCAUAAUUUAUGGUAGUGGGGGACUGCGUUCGCGCUCUCCCCUG
rnacentral:snRNA from 1 species